rnacentral:rRNA from 1 species
GGAAUCUUCCACAAUGGGCGAAAGCCUGAUGGAGCAACGCCGCGUGUGUGAUGAAGGGUUUCGGCUCGUAAAACACUGUUGUAAGAGAAGAAUGACAUUGAGAGUAACUGUUCAAUGUGUGACGGUAUCUUACCAGAAAGGAACGGCUAAAUACGUGCCUG